rnacentral:rRNA from 1 species
GAUGAACGCUAGCGGCAGGCUUAAUACAUGCAAGUCGAGGGGCAGCAGUUUUGUAGCAAUACAGAAGCUGGCGACCGGCAAACGGGUGCGGAACACGUACGCAACCUUCCUUUAACUGGGAGAUAGCCCACCGAAAGGUGGAUUAAUAUCCCAUAAUAUAACUGAAUGGCAUCAUUUAGAUAUUAAAGCUCCGGCGGUUAAAGAUGGGCGUGCGUCUGAUUAGGUAGUUGGCGGGGUAACGGCCCACCAAGCCUUCGAUCAGUAGCUGAUGUGAGAGCAUGAUCAGCCACACGGGCACUGAGACACGGGCCCGACUCCUACGGGAGGCAGCAGUAAGGAAUAUUGGUCAAUGGACGCAAGUCUGAACCAGCCAUGCCGCGUGGAGGAUGAAGGCCCUCUGGGUUGUAAACUUCUUUUCUUUGGGACGAAACCCCUGUUUCUACGGGGACUGACGGUACCAGAGGAAUAAGCACCGGCUAACUCCGUGCCAGCCGCCGCCGUAA